UAAUUGAAGAGUUUGAUCAUGGCUCAGAUUGAACGCUGGCGGCAGGCCUAACACAUGCAAGUCGAACGGUAACAGGGAGCAGCUUGCUGCUCUGCUGACGAGUGGCGGACGGGUGAGUAAUGUCUGGGAAACUGCCUGAUGGAGGGGGAUAACUACUGGAAACGGUAGCUAAUACCGCAUAACGUCUACGGACCAAAGUGGGGGACCUUCGGGCCUCAUGCCAUCAGAUGUGCCCAGAUGGGAUUAGCUAGUAGGUGAGGUAACGGCUCACCUAGGCGACGAUCCCUAGCUGGUC
rnacentral:rRNA from 1 species